AGUGAACGCUGGCGGUAGGCCUAACACAUGCAAGUCGAACGGCAGCACAGUAAGAGCUUGCUCUUACGGGUGGCGAGUGGCGGAUGGGUGAGGAAUAACUCGGAAUCUACUUUUUCGUGGGGGAUGACGAAGGGAAACUUACGCUAAUACCGCAUACGGCCUACGGGUGGAAGCAGGGGAUCUUCGGACCUUGCGCGAUUGAAUGAGCCGAGGUCGGAUUAGCUAGUUGGCGGGGUAAAGGCCCACCAAGGCGACGAUCCGUAGCUGGUCUGAGAGGAUGAUCAGCCACACUGGAACUGAGACACGGUCCAGACGCCUACGGGAGGCAGCAGUGGGGAAUAUUGGGCAAUGGGCGCAAGCCUGAUCCAGCCAUACCGCGUGGGUGAAGAAGGCCUUCGGGUUGUAAAGCCGUUUUGUUGGGAAAGAAAAGCAGCAGGUUAAUACCCCGCUGUUCUGACGGUACCCAAAGAAUAAGCACCGGCUAACUUCGUG
rnacentral:rRNA from 1 species